rnacentral:rRNA from 1 species
AACGAACGCUGGCGGCAUGCCUAACACAUGCAAGUCGAACGAGACCUUCGGGUCUAGUGGCGCACGGGUGCGUAACGCGUGGGAACCUGCCUUUAGGUUCGGAAUAACUCAGAGAAAUUUGAGCUAAUACCGGAUAAUGUCUUCGGACCAAAGAUUUAUCGCCUUUAGAUGGGCCCGCGUAAGAUUAUCUAGUUGGUGGGGUAAAGCCUACCAAGGCGACGAUCUUUAGCUGGUCUGAGAGGAUGAUCAGCCACACUGGGACUGAGACACGGCCCAGACUCCUACGGGAGGCAGCAGUGGGGAAUAUUGGACAAUGGGCGCAAGCCUGAUCCAGCAAUGCCGCGUGUGUGAAGAAGGUCUUCGGAUUGUAAAGCACUUUCGACGGGGACGAUGAUGACGGUACCCGUAGAAGAAGCCCCGGCUAACUUCGUGCCAGCAGCCGCGGUAAU